CCUACGGGAGGCAGCAGUGAGGAAUCUUGGUCAAUGGGCGCGAGCCUGAACCAGCCACGCAGCGUGAAGGAUGACUGCCCUACGGGUUGUAAACUUCUUUUAUAAAGGAAUAAAGUGAGGCACGUGUGCAUUUUGUAUGUACUUUAUGAAUAAGGAUCGGCUAACACCGUGCUAGCUGCCGCGGUAAUUCGGAGGAUCCGAGCGUUAGCCGGGUUUAUGGGGUUUAAAGGGAGCGUAAAUGGGUUGUUAAGUGAGUUGUGUAAGUUUGAGGGUCAAACGUUAAAAUGCAAUUGAUACUGGCAGUCUUGAGUACAGUUGAGGUAGGCGGAAUUCGUGGUGUAGCGGUGAAAUGCGUAGAUA
rnacentral:rRNA from 1 species